rnacentral:lncRNA from 1 species
GGAGCAGAAAGAGAGUUGUUCACCAGCCCAAACCCAGGACUCAGCAGCAUGCAGGUCCAGCCUCCAUGUGGAGGUGGGCCCCCCAUCAUCGUCCCCCUCCAGCCCCACCCUGGAGGAGCGGAGGCGGCCGGGCACGCUGUUCAUCUGGCAGGAGAGAGAGCGGCUGCAGCAGCAGCAGAGAGACAAGGCCAGUUUGCUGAAGUCCUCCGCCAAAGCAGGAAGUCAUGUGGCCUCUACACCUCAGACAGGAAGUAGUUCAGCGUAAGUACGGCCCGUUGGGCAGAUAAAAGCCCAGCAGCAGAGAGACUGAUGAGUGCCGUUCGUCCGUGCAUUUGCUCCGUCUCUGCUGGAUUAGACAUGGAGCUGAAGGUUGUGGAGAGUGUUGGUUUCCUGUAGUGAUCAAAUGUUGGUGUCUGUUUCCCCCUAGUGGAACUUCUCCAGAGAACAGCAGCUCCCAGCUGGCCCUGCGGCAGCGAUGUGCUGUGAGUAAACUCAGCUGACAGGUGUAGGUGUGUUUGCAUUGUGAAAAUCUGAAUGUGUUCCUUUUUUAUUAGAGUGCUGAACAGAUGAGCGCAGUGUUUCCUUCAACUCUGGUGCAACGCUCCAGCAGCAGAACAGGUAUACGCACACACACAAACACACACACACACACACACACACACACACACACACACACACACACACACACAUACAUACACACACACACACACACACACACACACCACACACACAGACACACACAGCCUUUCAUUAUAUAAUAAAGGAGCUACUGUAUUAUCUACUACAUAUUAUUAAUUU